UCUGACGGAGCAACGCCGCGUGAGUGAUGAAGGUUUUCGGAUCGUAAAGCUCUGUUGUUAGGGAAGAACAAGUGCAAGAGUAACUGCUUGCACCUUGACGGUACCUAACCAGAAAGCCACGGCUAACUACGUGCCAGCAGCCGCGGUAAUACGUAGGUGGCAAGCGUUGUCCGGAAUUAUUGGGCGUAAAGGGCUCGCAGGCGGUUUCUUAAGUCUGAUGUGAAAGCCCCCGGCUCAACCGGGGAGGGUCAUUGGAAACUGGGAAACUUGAGUGCAGAAGAGGAGAGUGGAAUUCCACGUGUAGCGGUGAAAUGCGUAGAGAUGUGGAGGAACACCAGUGGCGAAGGCGACUCUCUGGUCUGUAACUGACGCUGAGGAGCGAAAGCGUGGGGAGCGAACAGGAUUAGAUACCCUGGUAGUCCACGCCGUAAACGAUGAGUGCUAAGUGUUAGGGGGUUUCCGCCCCUUAGUGCUGCAGCUAACGCAUUAAGCACUCCGCCUGGGGAGUACGGUCGCAAGACUGAAACUCAAAGGAAUUGACGGGGGCCCGCACAAGCGGUGGAGCAUGUGGUUUAAUUCGAAGCAACGCGAAGAACCUUACCAGGUCUUGACAUCCUCUGACAACCCUAGAGAU
rnacentral:rRNA from 1 species